CAUCGUAUCAGUCAGUUGAUCGACACAUUAUUUCACAUUACAAUUAGUCACUACUAAUCAAUUUACAUUUCAGAUUCGGCACUUUUUGCAGCACGAUGCAUCGAUCUCCACUCUGAUCUUGAUCAUCAGCCAAGAGAUCGACUUUGUAUACAUACAUUGGACGUAACAGCUCGACGGAUUAAUUUUAGCCCCUGGUCCGUAUGAUGGUUAUCGUGCCACUCCCGGCGGUGCGCAGCCGCGUGAAGCCGGCGACCGUUUUGCCCGA
rnacentral:lncRNA from 1 species